rnacentral:rRNA from 1 species
UACGAAGGGGGCUAGCGUUGUUCGGAAUUACUGGGCGUAAAGCGCGCGCAGGCGGUCCUUUAAGUCUGAUGUGAAAGCCCACGGCUCAACCGUGGAGGGUCAUUGGAAACUGGGGGACUUGAGUGCAGGAGAGAAGAGUGGAAUUCCACGUGUAGCGGUGAAAUGCGUAGAGAUGUGGAGGAACACCAGUGGCGAAGGCGGCCAGCUGGGCCGGAUCCGACGCUGAGGCGCGAAAGCGUGGGGAGCAAACAGG